UGGGUUGUAGCUCAGUGGUGGAGCGUUUACCUAGCACAUUUAAGGCACUGGGUUCAAUUCUCAGCACCACAU
rnacentral:tRNA from 1 species